AACGCUGGCGGCGUGCUUAAUACAUGCAAGUCGAACGAGUUCUGAUUAUUGAAAGGUGCUUGCAUCUUGAUUUAAUUUUGAACGAGUGGCGGACGGGUGAGUAACACGUGGGUAACCUGCCCUUAAGUGGGGGAUAACAUUUGGAAACAGAUGCUAAUACCGCAUAAAUCCAAGAACCGCAUGGUUCUUGGCUGAAAGAUGGCGUAAGCUAUCGCUUUUGGAUGGACCCGCGGCGUAUUAGCUAGUUGGUGAGGUAACGGCUCACCAAGGCAAUGAUACGUAGCCGAACUGAGAGGUUGAUCGGCCACAUUGGGACUGAGACACGGCCCAAACUCCUACGGGAGGCAGCAGUAGGGAAUCUUCCACAAUGGACGCAAGUCUGAUGGAGCAACGCCGCGUGAGUGAAGAAGGCUUUCGGGUCGUAAAACUCUGUUGUUGGAGAAGAAUGGUCGGCAGAGUAACUGUUGUCGGCGUGACGGUAUCCAACCAGAAAGCCACGGCUAACUACGUGCCAGCAGCCGCGGUAAUACGUAGGUGGCAAGCGUUAUCCGGAUUUAUUGGGCGUAAAGCGAGCGCAGGCGGUUUUUUAAGUCUGAUGUGAAAGCCCUCGGCUUAACCGAGGAAGUGCAUCGGAAACUGGGAAACUUGAGUGCAGAAGAGGACAGUGGAACUCCAUGUGUAGCGGUGAAAUGCGUAGAUAUAUGGAAGAACACCAGUGGCGAAGGCGGCUGUCUGGUCUGUAACUGACGCUGAGGCUCGAAAGCAUGGGUAGCGAACAGGAUUAGAUACCCUGGUAGUCCAUGCCGUAAACGAUGAAUGCUAGGUGUUGGAGGGUUUCCGCCCUUCAGUGCCGCAGCUAACGCAUUAAGCAUUCCGCCUGGGGAGUACGACCGCAAGGUUGAAACUCAAAGGAAUUGACGGGGGCCCGCACAAGCGGUGGAGCAUGUGGUUUAAUUCGAAGCAACGCGAAGAACCUUACCAGGUCUUGACAUCUUUUGAUCACCUGAGAGAUCAGGUUUCCCCUUCGGGGGCAAAAUGACAGGUGGUGCAUGGUUGUCGUCAGCUCGUGUCGUGAGAUGUUGGGUUAAGUCCCGCAACGAGCGCAACCCUUAUGACUAGUUGCCAGCAUUUAGUUGGGCACUCUAGUAAGACUGCCGGUGACAAACCGGAGGAAGGUGGGGAUGACGUCAAAUCAUCAUGCCCCUUAUGACCUGGGCUACACACGUGCUACAAUGGAUGGUACAACGAGUUGCGAGACCGCGAGGUCAAGCUAAUCUCUUAAAGCCAUUCUCAGUUCGGACUGUAGGCUGCAACUCGCCUACACGAAGUCGGAAUCGCUAGUAAUCGCGGAUCAGCACGCCGCGGUGAAUACGUUCCCGGGCCUUGUACACACCGCCCGUCACACCAUGAGAGUUUGUAACACCCGAAGCCGGUGGCGUAACCCUUUUAGGGAGCGAGCCGUCUAAGGUGGGACAAAUGAUUAGGGUGAAGUCGUACAAGG
rnacentral:rRNA from 1 species